CGGACAUGCAAGCACACAUGCGUGCCACGUGCGUUACUAAUUGCGCAGGCCGUGUCGUUCAUGUGCGAGUGUACACAGCCGCCCAUGCCUCUUGUAGGACGCCGGGUGAGAGCACGAACACGAACACCCCCGCCGCCGCCACGCGCGACGCAGUGCGCCUCCCAGCCAGCUCGCGGCACGCCAAGCCCUGCGAGCGCGCCGCGCCUCAGUGAUGUCACACGGGCUGGAAGCUUCACGAACCCCGCGGUGCGCGGUCGAAGCAUCCCGCACCCCAACACCGUCCAGCAGUGGAUAGAGCCUUGGCGUGCGCCUCUAACCCAGCUGCUUGGAGGAGGCGUGGGUUGCGGGAUCUCUUGAGGACGGGAGAGUCCUGCGCUGUGAGGCUCUCUAUGCCGACCGGGCGUCCGCACCAAGUUCGGUAUCAAUAUGG